rnacentral:rRNA from 1 species
UCGGGUUGUAAACCUCUUUCAGUAGGGAAGAAGCGAAAGUGACGGUACCUGCAGAAGAAGCGCCGGCUAACUACGUGCCAGCAGCCGCGGUAAUACGUAGGGCGCAAGCGUUAUCCGGAAUUAUUGGGCGUAAAAGAGCUCGUAGGCGGUUUGUCGCGUCUGCCGUGAAAGUCCGGGGCUUAACUCCGGAUCUGCGGUGGGUACGGGCAGACUUGAGUGAUGUAGGGGAGACUGGAAUUCCUGGUGUAGCGGUGAAAUGCGCAGAUAUCAGGAGGAACACCGAUGGCGAAGGCAGGUCUCUGGGCAUUAACUGACGCUGAGGAGCGAAAGCAUGGGGAGCGAACAGGAUUAGAUACCCUGGUAGUCCAUGCCGUAAACGUUGGGCACUAGGUGUGGGGGACAUUCCACGUUUUCCGCGCCGUAGCUAACGCAUUAAGUGCCCCGCCUGGGGAGUACGGCCGCAAGGCUAAAACUCAAAGGAAUUGACGGGGGCCCGCACAAGCGGCGGAGCAUGCGGAUUAAUUCGAUGCAACGCGAAGAACCUUACCAAGGCUUGACAUGAACCGGAACGGCGCAGAGAUGUGUCGGCCACUUGUGGCCGGUUUACAGGUGGUGCAUGGUUGUCGUCAGCUCGUGUCGUGAGAUGUUGGGUUAAGUCCCGCAACGAGCGCAACCCUCGUUCCAUGUUGCCAGCGGGUUAUGCCGGGGACUCAUGGGAGACUGCCGGGGUCAACUCGGAGGAAGGUGGGGACGACGUCAAAUCAUCAUGCCCCUUAUGUCUUGGGCUUCACGCAUGCUACAAUGGCCGGUACAAAGGGUUGCGAUGCUGUGAGGUGGAGAUAAUCCCAAAAAGCUGGUCUCAGUUCGGAUUG